rnacentral:rRNA from 1 species
GACGAACGCUGGCGGCGUGCUUAACACAUGCAAGUCGAACGGAAAGGCCCUGCUUUUGUGGGGUGCUCGAGUGGCGCACGGGUGAGUAACACGUGAGUAACCUGCCCUUGACUUUGGGAUAACUUCAGGAAACUGGGGCUAAUACCGGAUAGGAGCUCCUGCUGCAUGGUGGGGGUUGGAAAGUUUCGGCGGUUGGGGAUGGACUCGCGGCUUAUCAGCUUGUUGGUGGGGUAGUGGCUUACCAAGGCUUUGACGGGUAGCCGGCCUGAGAGGGUGACCGGCCACAUUGGGACUGAGAGACGGCCCAGACUCCUACGGGAGGCAGCAGUGGGGAAUAUUGCACAAUGGUCGGAAGCCUGAUGCAGCAACGCCGCGUGCGGGAUGACGGCCUUCGGGUUGUAAGCCGCUUUCGCCUGUGACGAAGCUUGAGUGACGGUAAUGGGUAAAGAAGCACCGGCUAACUACGUG